CACGUAGGCGGCGAAGCAAGUCAGGGGUGAAAUCCCGGGGCUCAACCCCGGAACUGCCUUUGAAACUGCUUUGCUAGAGUCCUGGAGAGGCGAGUGGAAUUCCGAGUGUAGAGGUGAAAUUCGUAGAUAUUCGGAAGAACACCAGUGGCGAAGGCGACUCGCUGGACAGGUAUUGACGCUGAGGUGCGAAAGCGUGGGGAGCAAACA
rnacentral:rRNA from 1 species